rnacentral:rRNA from 1 species
UACGAAGGGGGCUGGCGUUGCUCGGAUUGACUGGGCGUAAAGGGCGCGUAGGCGGAUAGUACAGUCAGGCGUGAAAUUCCUGGGCUCAACCUGGGGGCUGCGUUUGAUACGUAUUGUCUGGAGUUCGGAAGAGGGUCGUGGAAUUCCCAGUGUAGAGGUGAAAUUCGUAGAUAUUGGGAAGAACACCGGUGGCGAAGGCGGCGACCUGGUCCGAUACUGACGCUGAGGCGCGAAAGCGUGGGGAGCAAACAGG